rnacentral:rRNA from 1 species
GCGUGCGACUGCGGAAACAUUAACGAGUUCUGAAAGCGGAGGCUUGUUGCUGGUGCGGAAACGUACAUGUGCGCGGCCUUUGUGCUCAAUCCACUCAACCCCUGUGCACCUUGCGAAGCUAGUAGCUUUUCUCUCUAUCUGUUCGUUCUGUAUCCUCUUUGACUGUAUGUGAGAGCCUUGCCCUGUGCGGGUUCAAACUUGGUUGAAGGGCGGCGGAAGAAGGGACGGUGCGAAGGAAGUGAAAGCUUUGAUUUUUAUUACAAACCCACUAUAAUGUCUUGUUGAAUGUAAUGCUCCUUGUGAGCGAAACUAAAUACAACUUUCAACAACGGAUCUCUUGGCUCUCGCAUCGAUGAAGAACGCAGCGAAAUGCGAUAAGUAAUGUGAAUUGCAGAAUUCAGUGAAUCAUCGAAUCUUUGAACGCACCUUGCGCCCCUUGGUAUUCCGAGGGGCAUGCCUGUUUGAGUGUCAUGUUAAUCUCAAACCACGAGUCUUUUUAACUAGAGGCUUGUCCGGUUUGGACUUGGAGGUUACCGCUGGCUCCCCUUUGUAGUUGGCUCCUCUGAAAUGCAUUAGCCGGACUUUGGUUCGCAUCUACGGUGUAAUAGUAACUUGUAUUCGCCGGGUGCUUGCCUAGGGAGUCCGCUUCUAAUCGCCCCUUGGUACAUUAGUGUACACGGGCAGGGUCUCUCUGUGACCUUCUUGAAUACUUUGACCUCAAAUCAGGUAGGACUACCCGCUGAACUUAAGCAUAUCAA